rnacentral:rRNA from 1 species
AUGCGCCAACUUUUCUGCACAAUACUUUUAUUUUGUGAGGUGACGGAUCCCGCAAAGUUGUGGCAAACAAAUUGGGAGUUACUAUCUGAGGAUAUCCAACGUCGGCAAAGAAGAAUAUUCAAUUUUCAGGCCCUGGAACUCAACUCGGCACAAAUAAAGAGCCUGCUCCUGGCAGAGAUAGAACAACUAUUGACUAAAGGUGGUAAGUCCCUCAAAGAUUUUCCAGGAAUGACACUACCAGAUAGUUCAGUUCUUCAAGAUCUAAAUAUUAGAUUAGUAAAUGAGGAACUAAACUAUGAUAAAGAUUCUUUAAGAAUAGAACACAUGAAGUUACUGCAUAAGCUAAAUCAGGACCAGAGGAUGGCUUUUGAUGUUAUAAUAGAAUCAGUCAACGACAGUCUUGGAAAAAUGAUUUUUGUUGAUGGAUAUGGUGGAAAUGGAAAGACAUUUCUGUGGAAAGCAGUCAUGACAAAAUUAAGAUCUGAAGGAAAAAUAGUUCUAGCAGUUGCUUCAAGUGGUAUAGCAGCAAUUCUUUUACAGGGUGGAAGAACAGCUCAUUCAAGAUUUCACAUUCCCCUCAAGAUCACUAACGAGUCCACAUGCAACAUCAAGCAAGGAGCUAAUAAAGAAAACAUCACUGAUAAUAUGGGAUGA